AAAAGCUGAAAGCUGAUUGGCUGAGCCUAGGUGGCCAAACAGUAUAUAAAAGCAGCAGCCGAGAAGCUAAAGCUCUGUAGGGAUAGGGACCAGCAAGAGAGCAGAACGCUGCCAAACACCUAUAAGAAGAUACCUGCGCAAGAGAAGUCACCUGAAAAGCUGAAAAAGGAAGAGCUGCUUGAAAGCCAGCUACUGUAACAGCAGCAGCAGCCGGCCACCCCAAGGCUCCAGGGUUGCCUUGGCAAUGGCCGCUCCCGGCACCCCGACAACAGGAGGCCUCCACAGCAGCCCGGCAGCAGUACCCAGCAGGCUUCCAUAUCUCUCACUGGAGGAGCAGUUUUACCUCAGUGACAGCAGACAGCCGCCCACUCGCAGCACUGCCCACACACCACAGCAGCCACAACUCCGAUGGUCAUCACUCUCGGGCAACCGACAGAGCAGAACGACCUUGACUAGACGACUCAGAGGGAUUUUCAUAGAAGCCCCUCUGACAGUGGCUGAAGAGGAAGAUUUGUGAAGUUUCCCAUACGAACACCAAAUCUCCAACUGUUACAUUACCACCAAAGCCAAGAGGUGAGCCCUGAUGGAUGACAAUAACAACAAAAGAGUUUGAGAUGGAGCAAAUACUCUAAAACAGACAGAGAGAACUGUAUAAGGAUCUGUAUUACUACUGGUUGCCCAUAAUAAAAACCUUUACUUCUAAAGUGAAAAA